rnacentral:rRNA from 1 species
UACGGAGGGUGCAAACGUUGCUCGGAAUCAUUGGGCGUAAAGCGCACGUAGGCGGUUCGUUAUGUCGGAUGUGAAAUCCCUCGGCUCAACCGAGGAAGGGCAUCCGAAACUGGCGUGCUUGAGUAUGGAAGAGGGUCUCGGAAUUCCCGGUGUAGAGGUGAAAUUCGUAGAUAUCGGGAGGAACACCGGUGGCGAAGGCGACAUCCUGGACCGGUAUUGACGCUGAGGCGCGAAAGCCAGGGGAGCAAACGGG